GAUGAACGCUGACAGAAUGCUUAACACAUGCAAGUCAACUUGAACUUCGGUUUGGGUGGCGGACGGGUGAGUAACGCGUAAAGAACUUGCCUCACAGAUAGGGACAACAUUUGGAAACGAAUGCUAAUACCUGAUAUUAUGAUUAUAUGGCAUCGUAUAAUUAUGAAAGCUAUAUGCGCUGUGAGAGAGCUUUGCGUCCCAUUAGCUAGUUGGAGAGGUAACGGCUCACCAAGGCGAUGAUGGGUAGCCGGCCUGAGAGGGUGAUCGGCCGCAAGGGGACUGAGACACGGCCCUUACUCCUACGGGCGGCAACAGUGGGGAAUAUUGGACAAUGGACCAAGAGUCUGAUCCAGCAAUUCUGUGUGCACGAUGAAGUUUUUCGGAAUGUAAAGUGCUUUCAGUUGGGAAGAAAAAAAUGACGGUACCAACAGAAGAAGUGACGGCUAAAUACGUG
rnacentral:rRNA from 1 species